GAGGCUCGCAAUGGUGGGGGACGCAUCACCAUCUGCCAGAGAGGAGAAAGGCAUACCUACCCCUUUAACGAUUGAAAUGCAGGUCCAGGGAAAACAUCUGGUCCUCACAUCACAACACCCGAGCAAGGCUGGCAAGGCUUGCUCGCCAUGGCCUACCACAUCGGCGAGACGGGGCGAGCACGUGAUCACCAUCAGCAGGUCCUUCGUCACAACACCCGAGCAAGCGAGAUGUUCAGACAAAGUUAUAUGAUACACUGCUAUUGACAUAUGUCGUAGAUGGACAGUACAUAUCGUUUCUCUCCAUGUUACAAUUUCUGUGACCUCGGCAUUUGGAAGACAUGUCAUCCGAAUCGUCUA